rnacentral:misc_RNA from 1 species
AAAGUGCGACAAGUGUCAUGACUUGCAGAUACCCGAGAGCUGACAAAUUUCUGAAUGCAAAUUGCAGCCAAGUUAACCUGGCUAUGUAUUGCAGAGAGUACUUCGCUUAUGCGCGCCAUCCAGGGGUGGUUCCAUUCCCCCUUGGGCUAUGUGCAGGCACGUUUUUUGUGCUUGCUGAGCAUUGUGCCACUCCAUUUGUCAAACGACAUGGACAAAGGCCAACUCAAAUUAAAGAUAGAAAACCAACGAGUUUUCCCGGACAAUCUGAGAUAAUUGAAUACCACAAUUACUUCUCAUCAUUCACCUCUGCAAUGCAGGAGAACCCGCUGAACUUAA